rnacentral:sRNA from 1 species
CUGUCCAGGGCGUGAAACGGGGAACAUGUGUACCGGACCGGCCCGCUACGCUGGCCAGGUGCGCCCUCUCCCGGAGGGCGUGAAGCCGACAGCCGUCGCAACCAGGGAGCACCUCCAUG